rnacentral:rRNA from 1 species
AGCUUUCUAGUAGGCGUCGAGUGCCGGACGGGUGAGUAACGCGUAGGAAUCUGCCUGAUAGUGGGGGAUAGCCCGGAGAAAUUCGGAUUAAUACCGCAUAAUCUAUUCGUAGUAAAGUGGGGGACUUUCGAGCCUCACGCUAUCAGAUGAGCCUGCGUAAGAUUAGCUUGUUGGUAGGGUAAAAGCCUACCAAGGCGACGAUCUUUAGCUGGUCUGAGAGGAUGAUCAGCCACAUCGGGACUGAGACACGGCCCGAACUCCUACGGGAGGCAGCAGUGGGGAAUAUUGGACAAUGGGGGCAACCCUGAUCCAGCAAUACCGCGUGUGUGAAGAAGGCCUGAGGGUUGUAAAGCACUUUCAAUUGUGAAGAAAAGUUAACGGUUAAUAACCGUUAGCCUUGACGUUAACUUUAGAAGAAGCACCGGCUAACUCCGUG